AUAAGGUUCUAUCGAGCGUAUUGUGUGAAAGAUUAAAGCCCACCGUCAACAAACUGAUUGGACCUUAUCAGUGUGGCUUCAGACCUGGUAAAUCAACAACCGACCAGAUAUUCACCAUGCGCCAAAUCUUGGAAAAGACCCGUGAAAGGAGAAUCGACACACAUCACCUCUUCGUCGAUUUUAAAGCUGCUUUCGACAGUACGAAAAGGAGCUGCCUUUAUGCCGCAAUGUCUGAAUUUGGUAUCCCCGCAAAACUAAUACGGCUGUGUAAACUGACAUUGAGCGGGACCAAAAGCUCCGUCAGGAUCGGGAAGGACCUCUCCGAGCCGUUCGAUACCAAACGAGGUUUCAGACAAGGCGACUCCCUAUCGUGCGAUUUCUUCAAUCUGCUGCUGGAGAAAAUAGUUCGAGCUGCUGAACUUAAUCGAGCAGGUACAAUCUUUUAUAAGAGUGUACAGCUGCUGGCGUAUGCCGAUGAUAUUGAUAUCAUCGGUCUCAACACCCGAGCCGUUAGUUCUGCUUUCUCCAGACUGAACAAGGAAGCAACGCAAAUGGGUCUGGCAGUGAACGAGGGCAAGACGAAAUAUCUCCUGUCAUCAAACAAACAGUCGUCGCACUCGCGACUUGGCACUCACGUCACUGUUGACAGUCAUAACUUUGAAGUUGUAGAUAAUUUCGUCUAUCUUGGAACCAGCGUAAACACCACCAACAAUGUCAGCUUUGAAAUCCAACGCAGGAUAACUCUUGCCAAGAGGUGCUACUUCGGACUGAGUAGGCAAUUGAGAAGCAAAGUCCUCUCUCGACAGACAAAAACCAAACUCUAUAAGUCACUCAUAAUUCCCGUCCUGCUAUAUGGUGCAGAGGCCUGGACGAUGUCAACAACAGAUGAGUCGACGUUGCGAGUUUUCGAGAGAAAAGUUCUGCGAAAGAUUUAUGGUCCUUUGCGCGUUGGCCACGGCGAAUAUCGCAUUCGAUGGAACGAUGAGCUGUACGAGAUAUACGGCGACAUUGACAUAGUUCAGCGAAUUAAAAGACAGCGGCUACGCUGGCUAGGUCAUGUUGUCCGAAUGGACGAAAAUACUCCAGCUCUGAAAGUAUUCGACGCUGUACCCGCCGGGGGAAGCAGAGGAAGACCUCCACUCCGUUGAAAGGACCAAGUGGAGAAGGACCUGGCUUCGCUUGGAAUAUCCAAUUGGCGCCACGUAGCGAAGAGAAGAAACGACUGGCGCGCUGUUGUUGACUCGGCUAUAAUCGCGUAAGCGGUGUCUACGCCAGUAAAGAAGAAGAAGUAAAGUCUUCAAAGGUUAUAAUUUAGAGCACGAUAAAAUUGUAAAAUUAUUUUCUCGUAAACUACUGGAGAUAAAUCGAUGAAAUUUUGUGAAGUCAAAGAAAAAUGUUCGUGCUAUAUUAUAAAUAUUUUUUUAUGGUCCUUUUCUUUAAAUAAUAAUAUUUUAUUUAUUACCUGUCUUGAAAUGUAUGGCACAACCAUCGUUGCGCAAUGCGCUAAUGCUUUUCUUGCGGCACAGAUGUCGGGAGCUUACGAUCGAUGUGCCAUACGUUUUAAGAGAGGUAGAAGGACGAAAAAUUCAAUUUCUUGGGAAUGGUAUGAAUGAGCAAAACUUUUUUUUCCAGAUUAUUAAAGGUGAAUAUUUUCCACGAUGUGUCACAUACUUUUAAAUUUUUUUUUACCGUGAAGAACACUUAAAAAAUUUCAAUUGUUUAACAAAAAACCGAGGGGGGUUGCACUCCGGGAGUGCAGGCAGAAGUGAAAACUUGAAGCGCGUUGGGCACUUUUUUGGGUGAGCAUUUUUAGGAGUGCUCGCGGCAUGAGAAAUUGUACAUAAAGAAGUAAGGAAGGGCUAAGUUCGGGUGUCACCGAUCAUUUUAUACUCUCGCAUGACAAAGUGAUAAUCGAGAUUUCAUUAUUCGUCAUUUACAUAUUUUUUUAUUUUGCUGUAAAAUUAAUUAGAAUUAAAUUCUGAGAGAUUUACCGAUAUUUUCGAUAAUUUCGUGUUCGAUAUUAGGAACCUUGAAAAGUUAUAAUCCGAUCACGACAAUUUUUCCACAAGGGAUACCUCAGCUCAAAUACCGUAUUUGUGUAAAGUUUUAUUCCGCUAUCAUCAAUGGGUCCUAAUGUAUAUAUUAUAUAGAGAAGGCAUCAGAUGGAAUUGAAAAUAGCGUUAUAUGGGAAGAAGGCGUGGUUGUGAACCGAUUUCGCCCAUAUUUCGUACAUGUCAUCAGGGUGGUAAGAAAAUACCAAAUUCAUUGAAAUCGGUCGAGUAGUUCCUGAGCUAUGGUUUUUGGUCCAUAAGUGGGCGACGCCACGCCCAUUUUCAAUUUUUGAAGAAAGCCUGGGUGCAGCUUCCUUCUGCCAUUUCUUCCGUAAAAUUUAGUGUUUCUGACGUUUUUUGUUAGUCGGUUAACGCGCUUUUAGUGAUUUUCAACAUAACCUUUGUAUGGGAGGUGGGCUAUAUGGUUUUUAUCCGAUUUCUUCCAUUUUUGAACUGUAUAUGAAAAUGCCUGAAGGAAACGACUCUAUAGAGUUUGGUUGACAUAGCUAUAGUAGUUUUCGAGAUAUGUACAAAAAUCUUAGUAGGGGGCGGUGCCACGCCCACUUUUCCAAAAAAAUUACGUCCAAAUAUGUCCCUCCCUAAUGCGAUCCUUUGUGCCAAUUUUCACUUUAAUAUCUUUAUUUAUGGCUUAGUUAUGACACUAUAGGUUUUCGGUUUCCGCCAUUUUGUGGCCGUGGCAGUGGGCCGAUUUCGCCCAUCUUCGAAUUUAACCUUCUUAUGAAGCCAAAUACGUGUACCAAGUUUCAUCAUGAUAUCUCAAUUUUUACUCAAGUUACAGCUUGCACUGACGGACGGACGGACGGACGGACAGACAGACAUCAGGAUUUCAACUCUACCCCUCACCCUGAUCACUUUGGUAUAUAUAACCCUAUAUCUGAUUCUUUUAGUUUUAGGACUUACAAACAACCGUUAUGUGAACAAAACUAUAAUACUCUCCUUAGCAACUUUGUUGCUAGAGCAGUGUUUGUUAUUCUAGCGUCAACUGAUCGCAAAAUUCUUCUUUGCUUGCCUACGAAGUUGAAUACAGUAGCACAAUCGUGCUUUCACAGACACUUGUCGCGACAUGUUGGUGUGAGGUUUUUUUUUUUUUUUUUUUUUUUUUUUUUUUUUUGUGUCGGAGGGGGAAUCUUCCAGAAGAUACUGCCUUAGACGGGCAGCAUGUACGAUUCAUUUUGCCCGCUAAAGAUACACCUCAGGACCAAGCUGGGCAAGAAUGCCUCUUCAAAAACUCCUUUCGUAGUUAUUCAGCUGCUCUCAGGCUUCUUCGCUGUCGUUCUCUUAUCCUGAGUUCAUGGAUCGCUAUUGCGGCCCACUCUUUCAUUUUUGCCCAUACCACCUUCGAUUGCAGCAUGUGGCUUAUAAUGUUGUCAGGCGUCAUCCUUUGAUUUGUUAUUUCUUCGAUGGUAGUUCUCUCCAUUACGUAUCUCGAGCAGAAGAAAAAGAUAUGCUCGGCGUUUUCGUUGGCACUGCUGCAGAACGAACAUUUUGUGUCAUCGUCGUGGCCGAAUCUGUACAGGUAUUCCCUGAAACAGCCAUGGCCUGUCAAGAAUUGCGUGAGAUAAAAGUCUGUCUCCCCAUGCUGUCUCUCAAUCCAAGCUGAUACGUUUUUAAUGAGCCUGUGCGUCCAUCUUCCUUUUUCUGCCGCGUUCCAUUGUCUUUGCCACUCUUCGAGGCUAACCUGUCUCUCCUUUUUUCGCUCUUCAGCUGUUAAACGCAUAUUCAUUUCUUUAGACUUUAGGUAUGCUCUACAUAGCUCUGAGGCCAUUAGGUCCGGAGGCAUAAGACCAGAUAUGAUACCGGCCGCUUCAUGUGAGACCGUUCUGAAUGCACAGGCCACUCUGAUGGCGCAUAGCCUGGUCACUGCUUUUGCCUUAUUGGCAUUUGUUUUUUGGCGCAGUGCUUUUUCCCAUAUAGGGGCCGCAUACAUCAGUGUUGACUGACUCACUUUAGCUAGUAGGGCUCUCCUACUUUGACUAGGGCCGCCAGUGUUAGCCAUAAUUCUUGACAGGGCCGCUGUAACAGUAGCUGCCUUGCUACAGGCCUUUUCAACAUGUGCUUUGAAAUUCAAUCUCGCGUCAAUCAUAACGCCAAGGUAUCUCAGAGAGUUUUGCGUUGUAACGUUGCAUCCAUCGAUAUUUAAGGUUACCGUUUCUAAUUUUUUCCUGCUCGUGAUAAGCACCGCUUCCGUCUUUUCUCCAGCCAGCUGCAACUUAGUUUCCGUGAGCCAGUCCUUAAUUUUAGCUGUGGUCGCAUUACAGGAGUUUUGUAUUUGAGAGAGCUCUUUCGCAACUAUCGUCACAGCAAUGUCGUCCGCAUAGCCAAUUAUUUGAGUCUCUUUUGGCAGCGGUAGGCGUAGCACCCCGUCGUAUAGCACAUUCCAGAGUAACGGACCCAAUACGGAGCCCUGCGGUACUCCACCUGUCACCACGUACCUUUUUGGGCCGGCAUCGGUGUCGUACAGUAGCAGUCUAUCAGAUAGAUAGCUACUGAUUAUCCUUAGUAGAUAUCCCGGAGUCUUCCUUGCCUCUAAAGCCCUAAUUAUAUGUGGCCAGGAUGCAGAAUUAAAAGCAUUUUUGACGUCAAGUGUGACAACUGCACAAUACUUUUUAUCGCCAUGCAUCCACCUGGUUCCCUCUAUGGCCUUGGCCGCGAUGUCCGUCAAUUUCCCGACUGCGUCCAUAGUGGAUCGAUGUCUUCGGAAACCAAAUUGGUUUUCAGACAAGCCAGGCAGCUCUCCUUCUAGGUGACGUUCCAGACGUUUACAGAUUAACUUCUCCAAUAUUUUGGCCAUCGUGUCGAUCAUACAAAGUGGUCUAUACGCACUCGGCUCGCCCGCCGGUUUGUUUGGUUUCUGAAGGAGAACCAGGCGCUGCUUCUUCCAUACUCUUGGGAAAACGCCUUCGUUUAGACACCUAGAAAAAAUUUCCGCGAAGGCCUUCUUGUUGUGUUUAACCGCAAUCUUAAGCGCCUUAUUUGGGAUGCCAUCAAGUCCUGGCGCCUUUGUAUUACCGAAUCUUUCUGCCACUUGUACUAUCUCCUCCUCGUCGAUUGUCAAAGUUUCGACCGUUGAUGGUAUUCUUCUGCUCGUAUGCUGCUCUUGCGAUGGGAAGAGCGUUUUCACCACUUUCUCUAGCAGUGUAGCACAGGUUGGUGCUUGGUUUUUACCACCCUUGACCUUUGCCAUUACUAUUUUAUAGGCAUCUCCCCAUGGAUUUUCAUCUACCUUCUCGCAUAGUUCUUUAAAGCUUGAGGUCUUACUUCUUUUAAUAGCCUUUUUAAACUCAUUUCGUUUUCUUUUAAAAUAUACUCGCAGCCUCGUUUGUUCUGGCGUACCUAAGCUUCUUUGGGAGAGGCGUCUCGCUCUAUGACAUUCGCUUCUUAGUGCGCUAAUCUCCUCGUUCCACCAGUAUGCGGACCUUCUGGGUGCGUUUUGCCUUUUUCUACACAUAGCCGCGUCGCAGGCUUUACUUACGUGGCUUACCAGCAUUUCAGCUUGUCGGUCUAAGUCGGUUGAGCUAUCCAUUUUUUCAUCCAGCAUGAGGUCGAAGAUGCUCUCAUCUAGGGUUUCCACCUUCCAUCCUUUUUUCCGUGGCUUUUUUAGACUGCCUUGGUUUCGCGGCUUCUUGCCGAUUUCAAGCAUAAUGGCAAGAUGAUCACUAUGUAUGUAGAAGUCACACACUUUCCAAUGUGCAGAUCGAGCCAGUGAGUUGCUGGCGAACGUAAUGUCUAUAAUCGAUCCGCGGCCAUUUUUCUCGAAGGUAUUUCUGCCUCCCGUGUUAAGCAGUACAGGAUCUAGUAAGGCGAACGUUUUAAGCAAAGCAUUACCCCGCUGGUUUGUCUUGCUACUACCCCAUUCGAUUGCCCAAGCGUUAAAGUCGCCUGCUAUCACAUUUGGUGCAGUAGUAAGGGCGUCCUGAACUAAUUCAUCGAGGAUCUGUUCAUAAACACCUUGUAGUAUACUCGGAGGGAGGUAACAACUGUAAAAAUAGAUUCCGCCUAUUUUCGCUCGCGUAUAAUAUGAUUUCCCCAGAAGCGGCUUGUCUUGGAAUGCGUUUUCCCCACAGGCCCAUAUGGCGGCUUUGCUCUCUUUAUCGGAAAUCCAGGUACCAGCACUUAUGUUUUUAUACUGCUCACAGACUAUCGCCACAUCUAUCUUCUUCUCGUAGAUUGUCUGUUUCAGUAACUCUUGGGCCGCUUCGCAAUGAUUUAGGUUGAUUUGUACAAUCCUCAUUUCGCCUUUUUACAUGCCGCUUGGUAGAGGGGACAUUUCCAACUUCCCAUUCGGUGAUCCGUAUCCUUUUUUCCGUUUGAUUUGCAUGACGCACAAAAUGGUUUUUUGACGCAUUCUUUUGCGAAGUGCCCCGUUUCACCACAUUUUGCACAACACUUGCUUCUGUCAUCCUCGCUGGUACAUGCCCUCGCCAGAUGCCCAUAUUCCAGGCAUCUGAAGCACUUCCUAAGGUUCGGUUUCUCCCUUAUUCUGCAUAUAACCCAUCCUAUUUUGAUUUUGCGUGCAUCAAUUAAUUUUCUUGCGUCCGAUGCUGGAAUGCUGAUCACCGCCGUCUGCGUACCCGCGUAUGCCUGUCUCAUACUUUUAAUUGAGCUUUCCCUGAAGGAGCUUAGCUCAUUAAUUUGUAUUUGGAUUGCAUUCACGAUGUCUUCUUUUGUUGUUACCUCAUCUAGGUCGCGAAUCUCUACAGAUACUUCAUGAGUUAAGGCUCUUAUCUGUGCCUGGUCGCCUAGCACCUUACAUAUUUCCCUUUCGUAUGUACUCGUGUUUGUCAUUUGCGCCUGCUUCAUUUCCAGAAGUAUCUCGCCUUUUGCCGUCUUUCUGAUGCGCGACACGUCCUCCCCAAGUUCUUUGAGGGUAUCCUCCUUCUUGACAGCCCUGAGUAUGUCGCUGUACGUCAUGCUUCCAGAGCGUGAAAUUAUGAUUGCGUCCGGUCUCGGACGUGGGACAUAAGCGGCCUUCUUCUUCAUGUUUGGCGUUUUUCGCUUCACCUGAAUCCAAUCUUUUCUUUUUCCUCUUUCUUUCCUUUUGUAGGAAUGUCGCCUUCAUUCCUUUUGUUAGCAGUAGGCCUCUUUUGCAUUUCUUCUUGAAUUGCUUUUUUCUUUGGUGGAGUCUUGCGCGCUGGCUGCUCAUCCUCGCGUGGCCUUUUUGGUGUUGAAUCCACUCCUACGUGUCUUAAAAGGACAUUUCGUUUGGCUGCUUUGAUUGUAUUGUUAUACUCGCUUUGGGCGCGUUCGUGGAGCUUCGUCACAGAGGUUAACAGAUCACGUAUCUGGUUGUUGAUCGUUCGUUGAGGCGGUUUUAUUGCCACAGUUAGCCUAUUGAUCAUAUCUCCCAGCUCAGACAUGAUAUCUCCUUUUGGUUGCGUGAAUUCCUCUCGCGGCGUGCUGUCUUCCAGCGCUGGUGGUGACGAUCUCGCUCUUUCAGGCCUUUCCACGGUGAGCCCCUGUUUCGGUGAUCGCAUCAGUCUUGGCGCGCGUCUAAAGGGGUCAGCCUCGACGCAAGGAUCACUCAAGGUCGGCGUUCUUCUGGACGGUUGCGAUUCUGCGAUCCUACUGCCAGGGCUUUGUGUGCCGUUGCUCGAUAAGCAGUCAUGUACACUGCUACUAUUACAUUUGUUUUCUUUUCUCAGAUAAUUCUCCAUAUGUUAAGUUCUUACAGCGCAUCGUGUGUAGGGGGGCGGGCCGAAAUAGACAGGAACGGGUGUACCCUCGGAGACCAUGCUCCUACCCCAGUUCCCUGAGGCCUGUCCUUCGCUUUACCAGUCCCGGAAAACACGGACGGACCGGCGCUCGCCCGGGGCAACGCAGGCUACUACUCCUGCGCCCAAUGCACACUCCCUGACCAGGGACCGAAGUGGCUGUUUACUGAUACACCACGCGGCUAACACCUCGGCAGAGCAAGCUCACAUCACCCUUUGCAUCGCACCAGCGGAGACAUCGCUGUCAGGAUAUCCAGGGACUCCCAGUGCGCCGCGCUGUGUACCGGUCAAGUUAUAAAAUCAGCCGCACCUAACAUGGUGAACAGACGCUGACCAGGAAGCCGCCCAUUAUGGGUCCGUCGCGCCUGGAUUUUUUUUUUUUUUUUUUUUUAACACAACAUGCCCUUGCAUGUUGCGGGGGACACAUACUUCAAAGGGGCGGUGUCGGUUCGCCCACUGUCACAGGAGUUUCAACGGUCUUGCUGGUUUUUAUACCGCAACCUCCACUCCCGCCGCUUCUCGUCGGGGAUUGCUUAUUCGUUUAAACUUAUUUCGCAACUAACCUGCUACUACAGGCCGUCCGGCUAUCCGCGACCUGCCGACCCCCCCGGUCGCUUAAAGCUCAGCGACGGUGUCUAUUCCCACUGGAAAUUUAAAGUCCCACCGGGCUGUUGGUGUGAGGUGUCUGGCACUGUCCGUGCGCUAUUGUGCGCAUAGGCCGUGGACAACGCUGUGCUAGAGUAUAAAAAUCAAGUUUAUCAAAGCAAUGUGGGCACUUUUUGAAUGGACAUGAAGUAUAAUAAUAUAGAAACUAUAUUCGAAGGAAGUGGUUUUAUUUAAAUGAGUAAAUAUUAUAAUAAAUAGUAAAUACACAAUUUAUCAAUUCUCAUCCAUAAUUUCAACAACUCUUACAUCAUCAUUAUCAACAUUUUCAUCAUUAUUAUCAGGAUUUUCAUCAAAUUCUAAAACUGAAACAAUAGGUCUAUGGUAACUAAAGUAUGAAAUGAACAAUUUUGAUUUAAAUCUGUUUAUAUAUCUUGUGAAUACUGCAUCAAUAGUAGUUUUGUAUUUUGUUGUGCUAAGAUUGCGAUCAUUGGACAUCGUUAAAUCAAAUUCUUCAUAUAAAAAUUCAAUUAAUGAUUGAUUUUUGACAUCUGCAAAGCUCAUGUUGAAAUCUCCACUCAAAAUCAUAGGAUAAUGAUCAAAUCUUCUAUUAAUUUUCAUCAUAAAUAGUGCGGAAGCAGCUUUAGAAUAAAUUUGAAUACAACAACUCUCGUAUUGCUUGUAAAGAUUGUUUUGGUGAAAUAUAAACGGCAGCCAUUAUUAUUGUUUGUCCAUUAGAAUGGCAUUGGGAAAUAUAUAUAUCACCAAUAUUCGAAACAUUAGUGCUUAACAUACUGGUAUAUCUCGCAUGCACUUCCAUAUGAUCUGUAGAAAAAGUGGCCAUAGUAUCAUCGGACCGAUGAUAAAUAGCCACCCCACCUGCUGGACGAUUGUCUCUUUUGAAACUUGCUAUAAAGUUGAAAUUUGGAAUGUCAAUAGUUUCUUCGUUACUCACAUGAGUUUCUGAUAAUAUUAACACACUCAUUUUCUCAACAAGAGCAUCAACUGAUAGGUCAUGUACAUGUCGUCGUAAGCUUUGACAAUUGAAUAAAAAAAGAUAACUCUUUUUUUGUAGAAAUGAAAUCAAUAAAUGUUUUAGUAACAGUUUGUAAGUUAUUGUCAUGUAAUCGUUUCAGUUCGAUGGAUAAAUCAUCACGAUGAGUUGUAGAUCUCUUUUGGUCUUUGCUUGUGUUUGAAUCAUCAGUCGGUGCGUUUCCUACUCUGCCAUGAUGAAAUUUCCAGCUCGCUCCUGUAUCUUCUUUAGUUAAUAAGAACAAACCAUCAUUAGUUACUCUUGAUAAGGCUACGUAAACCAAUUCUCCAGAGUGAGCACGACUGUAUUCAUAAACAAUAGCAUCAAAAGUACCUCCCUGAGACUUGUGAAUCGUCAUAGCAAAAGCCGAAACUAGUGGAAAAUGUUUUCUUUUCGCCACUAUAGUUUUGUUGUUCUUCAGUGGUAUUGAUGAUGUUUGAGCAGAAAUUGGAAGAUCAUCUCUGUCGAUUCCCAAGCGUUCAAUGUCAUUUCUUGCCUUAGUUUUGCGCUUUUGACCAGCGGAUUUUAGAAACUUUAACCAAAUUCUUGUAAUUUCAUCAUUUUCUCGUCUGUCGCGAGGGCACGAACGAAUGCCCAUGCAAAGACUGCGUAUUGCAUGCAGCGCUCUCGCGUACCUAUACACUCUGAGUAUACAUAUAGGUAUGUAAUCUCGUCUGUCGCGAGAGCACGAACGAAUGCCCAUGCAAAGAGCGCGUAUAGUAUACAUAUAUUAUAAGAAUACACGCGGAGUAUAUCUGUGUGAAAUCUCAUCUGUCGCGAGAACGGCUUGAAAAUGCUCACCCACAAAAGUGCCCAACGCGCCAUAAGAAGUUUUCAUUUCAAUUAUGUAAAUAAAUGGAUCGUGAAAAAAUAUUUAUAAUAUAGCACGGACAUUUUUCUUUGACUUCACAAAAUUUCAUAGAUUUAUCUCUAGUAGUUUAUGAGAAAAUAAUUUUACAAUUUUAUCGUGCUCUAAAUUUCAACCUUCAAUAACUUAAAAAAAAAUUAAUUAUUUUGACGAAAUAUUUAUAUCACGGGGUAUGUGUCUGGUCCCCUUCCUAAUGAAUUUUUCGAAAUUUUCAUGGACCACUUGACGUGGUUUGACCCCUCUGUUUAGCUCUGCAGCUCGUGUUAUUUACUCCAGCAAUAAAUUAAAAAAAUCAUACCAAGUUUAGACAUAGCGGCAUAGAGACGGUUUCUUUUCCUGCUAUCGAAGGCGGCUUUGAAAUCGGCGCCGGUUUUCCUUACACAGGUGUUUUCUAAGAUUUGGCUCAUUGUGAAGCUACUGCCACUUGGUGUUGUGUGGAAGAUUAAAGCCCACCGUCAACAAACUGAUUAGACUUUAUGCCAAAGUCACAUAUAUGGGUUCCGUACUACAAUGUGUACUACAAUUGUUCAAAUAUCAUUGAACAUGCUUACUUAUCAGCAAUGCCGAAAUUCUAUUAAAUAUAAAUAUCUAUUUAUAUAUUAAUAUACAUACAUAUAUAUAAUGCAUUUACAUUCAUGCACAUCUAAUAAUACUGGUUGUCAAAAAAGUCACAUAUUCGAUAACAAAGUUUUUUUUAAAUGAAUGUGCAGGAAUAUUGCUGUAUUUUUUGAAAACAGUCUCAGAAUUGGCUGAUAAUAGAGAAUCAAGCAGCAGUGUUAUCAGAAAUAUAUUAAAUAAAAGAAAACGCCGUCGUUUUGCAUUAUUAGCUAGCGAAAAUUCACGGAGAAGAAUUCCAAAAACCAACAAUUUUUGUACGGUUAUCGAAAGCAUGGAAGACGAUGUAUUUUAUUCUCAUUUUCGAAUGAAGAAAAGUACAUUUCAGAAGUUGCAGAUUGCGAUUAAGCCCUGGUGGAAUUCAAGUGAAACUGGACGUUUAGCAAUAACGUUGAAAAAAGCUUUACAAAUAACAAUUUGGAAGCUAAGCAAUAAUUGCUCUUUCAGAGAUGUCAGCGAUCGGUUUGAUGUGGCAGCUGGCCUCGCUUAUAAGGUGUUUCUGAAAAUAAUUAAAAUGAUUUGCCGCUUGAAGGGAGAUGUAAACAAAUUUCCCAAAACUGCAGCGGAACAAAAACAAGAAGAAUUUACAAACCUGCGGUAUAAUCCUUUUCCUUUUGUAAUUGGAUGCAUCGACGGAACUCAUAUUCCAAUUUCGCGGCCAAUCAGAGAUGAAAUCAGCUAUCGCAACCGAAAGGGAACGUAUUCAAUCAUUACACAGGCUAUUGUAGAUAGUCGAAUGAGGUUUAUGGAUGCAUUUAUCAGCUGUCCAGGUGCAUGCCACGAUGCAUCAGUUUGGCAAAGUAGUUCUGUCAGGAAAGCUAUAAUUAGCAAGGAGAUUAAAAUCUAUUCUAAUUACCAUUUGUUGGGCGAUGGAGGGUAUCCAUUAGAAUUGUUCCUUAUGGUGCCCUAUCGUGAUAACGGGUUCUUAACACCAAUGCAGUCAAAAUACAAUGCGAUUCUGUCUUCAACUCGCGUUGUAGUGGAACAGGCAUUUGGUGUUUUAAAAAAAAAAAAUAGAAUUCUCAAAUACAUCGAAGCUCAACGUCCAUAUAUGCCAAAAUUAAUUACAAUGGCAUGCAUGAUUGUUCAUAACAUAAUAAUUGAAAAUGAAGGCUACUUAGUUGAUGAAAUAGAUGAAGAAAAAACACAUACUGAGCCCCAAAUAGUCGAAGAUACGACUACAUCGGGACAAAGGGAGACAAAAACAAAAAGGGAUGCACAGGCCACGCUAUUGUCUGCCUAAUUGAAAACAGUUUGGACUUUAAAGUUAUAGUUGUAUUUUAAACUUUACUAAACCCAAUAAAGAAAAAAUAAAAAUAAAAUAACAGUCAGUUCAUUUUGCACUAAUAGGAAAAAAAUAAACAAAAAACAAUACAUUUUGCACUUAAAAUUUAAUAUGAAAAAUUCAUUCAAGCACAUUCUAAGAUUUGUCGAGUAUUUUCUGGAACAGUGUACGAAUUUCUUUCUUUCUUUCUUUUGGUAUCUUCUUCCGAUUCCUUGUUUAAAAACUCUAACACAUUGCUUUUUCUUGUUAGUUUAUUUCUUGGAUGCUAGUACAAGGUAAUGUUGCAUCUAAGUCCAGCACCGUAGGGCUUUCGGGUGGAUCAUUACUUAAAUCUUGCAUUAAGGACUCAAGGGAAGAUUCCAGCAUGGCAUCAGGCACAAGGACACUACUGCGGCUGCCAAAAACUUCAUCCAAUGUUUGGAAAAAUUCCCAAUUAGCCGCGCCUUCUCCAGAUGUCUUGUUGCGUUUUUUUAUUCGUUUGUAGGUGCACAUUAUAUUAAAAAACAUCUGGUACUUUCGUCCUUGGAGAAUGGGAAUGUGUUAUCUAUUUCCUUCACAUCCCGCAUUAUUUGCUCCCAAAGUGUGUUCCUAUUUUUUUUUUGCAACGAAAUCUGGCUCAUACUUCAAUCUUAUUUCUAUAAGUAAUUCCUUCCUCUCAUGGUUCCACUUUUUUUCACUAUGCAUGUACAGAAAAUAUUAAAAAAUCAUAAGUAAAACUACAAUCUAUAAAGUAAACCACUUUUACUUACCAUAAAUCCGCCAUUUUCACCACAAAUUUAUAUUUUGUUUUAUGUUUACUUUUUGCCGCCAAGAAAAGCCACUAUAACAUCACAACUGAAAACAAUGCACAAGUUUGGCAUAUGUUGCGCAUAAAAAAGCAUUGCCAUGCAAUAAUGAAUACGCGGAACCAGAGGUAAGGAAUGAUAAAUCUUUGUGGAGUUAAACAAUAAUAAAAGCUCCAGAAUCCAUAUACCAGCACAGUGACACACAUAUAGUAUAUUACGACAAUGAAUUUUAUCAGCUGAUGCGAGUUAUAAAUUUAAAAAAUAUAAUAACUGCAAACAAUUUUAAAAUUUUAUAUUACUUGAAGAUAAAUAUUACAGACGUAUUGCCCUGGAGAAAGGAAUUUCAGACACCGUACAUUCUGGUCUUUGGUAAGUUCUCAAUAGUUUGUUUUCUGUGUUUCUGAAUUCUUAGGUGGAAACUUAUAAAUUUUACGAAAAUGUUGUUAAGCGUUUAUCGAAUGAAAAUUUGAAAAAUACGUUUCGUGUGAACCGGGAGCCAUUGUCCUAUUUAGUGGAUUGACUAAAAAAUGCCCAGAGACAAAAUAUGUACCUACUGCAAAAUACCAUACCUUUAAAAAAACGAAACGCUAUUGAUUUGUAUACACUAGCUUCUUCCGCUGAGUACAGAACAGUCGGAAGUCUGUUUGCAGUCGGACGCACAACGGUAGUAGUAGACAUUUGCAACGAAAUAGUUAAAUAAUUUAAAAACGAAAUUUUUUAUAGUUAUCCUCCGAAUGACGCAAAAGCUAAUGAAAUAGUAUCUGUUAUGGCGCUAUUGGUUGCCAUAUAUAAAUCAAGCCUCCAAAAAACGAAGCCUGCAAUUAUUUUAGCUUCAAAGGGUGGUACUCAACGAUUUUAUUUGCAUCCGUUGACUAUAGAUGCAGAUUCACAUACAUUAAUGUUGGGAUACCAGGACAUAGUAAUGACUCCACAAUAUUUGAGCAUUCGGGAUUAAAUAAUGUCACUGCGAUAGUGAUGUUUUCAAAAAUCAUGCUGCUGUAAUUGAAGGUGUUUAGGUGCCAAUACUCCUGAUUGGGAAUUCAGCAUGCAAACUGCAAAAAUGUCUUAUGAAACCUUUGAAGGCCCGUUUCAGGCGCUUUGGUCAAGGUAAAGUACUCCAAAUAUUCCAAACGACACUGUUAAUCAGCAAUGGAUUGAACAAGAAAACAUUCAAGACAGCCUCAUAGAAGCCACACGGAUAGAUGUGAAUAGUGGAAUCGCCAUAAGACAAGCAAUUACGGCUUAAUUUUUCUACAGUAUGUAUUCACAUAGUUUUGUCAUAGAAUAUACAUAUACAUUAAGAUACUUUAGUUAGAUAUUUUUGUUUAACAUAGCCAAAAGAAAAGAGUUUGUUUGUUCCAUCAAACUUAGGGCCUCUUCUUCAUUUAUAAUACAUUUAUUUAAGCAAAGUUCCAUCAACGUUUGCUCUUUUUUAGCAAUUUCGGGAUGUUCAUUGAUACUCGUUUUCUCUUCUUUGCAGAUGACGUAGAGGAUCGAUUUCAUGAACGUAUCAACUGAACCGACUAAUGAACCGAACCUGUGGAAUAAAAUCAUACAUACAUAUAAUAUAUUGGGCCAAUAAUCUUCCUUACUGAUCUGAUAUCAUAAUAUUAAUUCAAUGAGUACUUUUUUGCCAUGUUGUCUAUACGAUUUCGCAGAUCGUCCGGUGCCAGCGAAAUCCGUGCUCAUUUGCCAGCUGUGUGCAUAUCAGGGAUCAGGGAUAAUGGGAUGCCCAACUUAUUCCAGUCUGAGAGCGCCUCAAAAUAAUCAUUUUUUUGAAGUUAUACUUCUUAUACGACGCCGGAAAAGGUUGCGAUAGAUUCUGGUUGCGCAACCUUCCAUAUAAAAGUAACGCAAAGUUGCGCAACCUCGCUCCAUCCAUAUGAAUGUAACGCAACCUUGUCUGCAUAACCAAAUCAUACUUAAGUCAAUGCAAUCUAAGUGUCAAUGGUGGUGUUGGUGGUAAGCGCCUAGACUGUGACGAUGUGAACACCGGUUCGAAUCUCAACAGGAUUUACUUUUAAUUUUUUUUUUUUUAAUUUUUUGCUUUUUAACAUCGUAUACUAUACUAAUAAAUAUUUUUCUUACUAAUAGAAAUUAAAUUUAUCACAGCAAUAUUAUGUAUAUGUAUAUACAUAUUAUGCAUAUGUAUAUUGCUGUGAUAAAUUUAGUGCGAAAGCAAAUGUUCUACAAAUGUAUGUGUAUAUUCUAUACUUAAACAAAAUUAUUAGAACCAUCGUAUGUUUCUUGCAUGCAUAACCCAAUCAUACUUAAGUCAACGCAACCUAACUGUCAAUGGUGGUGUUGGUGGUAAGCGCCUAGACUGUGACGAUGUGAACACUGGUUCGAAUCUCAACAGGAUUUACUUUUAAUUUUUUUUUUUAAUUUUUUGCUUUUUAACAUCGUAUACUAUACUAAUAAAUAUUUUUCUUACUAAUAGAAAUUAAAUUUAUCACAGCAAUGUUAUGUAUAUGUAUAUACAUAUUAUGUAUAUAUAUAUUGCUGUGAUAAAUUUAGUGCGAAAGCAAAUGUUCUACAAAUGUAUAUGUAUAUUCUAUACUUAAACAAAAUUAUUAGAACCAUCGUAUGUUUCUUGCAUGCAUAACCAAAUCAUACUUAAGUCAACGCAACCUAAGUGUCAAUGGUGGUGUUGGUGGUAAGCGCCUAAACUGUCACGAUGUGAACACUGGUUCGAAUCUCAACAGGAUUUACUUUUAAUUUUUUUUUUUUAAUUUUUUACUUUUUAACAUCGUAUACUAUACUAAUAAAUAUUUUUCUUACUAAUAGAAAUUAAAUUUAUCACAGCAAUAUUAUGUAUAUGUAUAUUGCUGUGAUAAAUUUAGUGCGAAAGCAAAUGUUCUACAAAUGUAUAUGUAUAUUCUAUACUUAAACAAAAUUAUUAGAACCAUCGUAUGUUUCUUGCAUGCAUAACCAAAUCAUACUUAAGUCAACGCAACCUAAGUGUCAAUGGUGGUGUUAAUGGUAAGCGCCUAGACUGUCACGAUGUGAACACUGGUUCGAAUCUCAACAGAAUUAAUUUUUAAAUUUUUGCUUUUUAACAUCGUAUACUAUACUAAUAAAUAUUUUUUUUUCUUACUAAUAGAAAAUAAAUUUAUCACAGCAAUAUACAUAUACAUAAUAUGUAUAUACAUAUACAUAAUAUUGCUGUGAUAAAUUUAAUUUCUAUUAGUAAGCAAAAAAUUAAAAAUAAAUUCUGUUGAGAUUGUAGCCCGUGGUUUAAAAGGAGGGAAAACAGCACAAUAUUAUCGUGAAUACCGAGCACGAAAGAAAGCAGAGCGGGAAAAGGAGAGAUUGGAAAUGAUAGCUGGCAGCCAACCGAGGAAGAGGAAAACAGCUGAGGAAUAUCAGAGAGCGCGUAAAAAGAUUCAACGUCUGCUGUUUCAUCAAUCUCUGCGGGAGCAUCUAUAACUAGUGAUGAAUCAACGAUCGUCAAUUCACCGAUAACUGCUGAACUUUCAACGCGUGUUGAUGGAUUACAAAAGAUAUAUGGUUACGAUGCAUAUUCCCUUCCGCAAGGAAGAGACAGAACUUCUUUCCGAAUUAAAAUUCCAUCAUUUAGACUUUGCUUUAUAAAAAGUGCAUAAUAAAAUUAUAAAAUGUGAA